AGAGCUGAUACAACAGAUUUCCGUUUGAAUUGUUGCUCACAAAAAAGGGCCAAUCUUGCUUUACGAAGUUUUACGAAGAGCUACAAAGAUUACUAUAAGAUUUGUGAACUCAAGGCCGUACAUAAGUUGUACUGAUCCACAUGGGAAGAUUUGCUACGUACACCUUAUGGAAUCAUACAAGACACCAUUUUUCCCAUCUUUUUUAUGCCAUAACUACACAUCAACAAGUCUAGCAGUGCCACCUCUCGACAUGGUCUCAUUUGCGCUAGUUACCAGUCUUGUUCCUUGGCGAAGCCUCAAUUCCUAUAAGAUCAAAAGGGCAGGCAUGAGAGAAAGAUAAAUGGAACCAAACCAAGCACACACUUCCAUAUAUGCAACUACAAGAACAAUGACAAUGACAUCGAGUAAGCGGUUGCAUCAUACAAUCAAAGAACUAUAAUUACAAGAACCUUCCCUAGAAAAAAAUAACAGAAAACAGGAAAAUGAGACAUCGAGUAACAAUGAAAAAGAAGACAUCAUAUAACAAGGUUUGCAUGAACUAAUAGUAGAAACAGACUAAUCAAGCUCUGUCUUCAGAGUGCAAAAGAUGCACAAUGCACCAUUGAGGCAUUAAAGCAAACACUAGCAAGGCAAGUAGAGCGGAGCAAAAUCUGCAGCUUCCGUUGCAGUGGAGAAGACGUUGACAUGCACUGGAGCAUGGCAUGCUGGAGUGAUACACUUCGCGCCUACUCAAUAUCACGGUACCCUGCACACACACCAGCCAACAAUUAACCACGUUGACUAAAUUGGAGCUACCAUACGAAUUGAACUGGCUGAAAUUUAGAAAUUGAACUGAAAGAAAAACUAGACACCACAGGUACAUCAAGAAAAAAACUGGAGUAGUUAGUACCAACUACUAAACUAAUGUACUGGAUAUUGAACUUAUAGAUUGUAUAUUGGCAAAAUUUUACACUUGACGGGAGUAAUCAACAUGAAUGUUUUCUCUCGAAGUUACAACAUGUAUUCCUCCUAGAUAAUAUCUGAACAUCAGGGGAAAAAAUGUUUGAACGUCCGAGACAGUAGUGUGUGAACUUGUAGAUGGAAACAUAAAACAUGCUAAAAUAUUUCAGGAAACAUGCUAAAAUUGGUCUUGUUUAGUGAUCAAGAAAAUAUUUAGAGAUUGUUGUUCGAAAUCUUCAUUUGUGAACUCUUAAGCGAACCAAAAUAUCACCGCUACCAAGUCUGCACCACCAAGUACCUGCAUGAGUUCAGUUUUUUUAGACCAUAGUUCAAGGCAGUAAGGUCGCAAGUUCAAACAGUCAAUGGACCAAGAAUUGUUUAAACACCAAUGUUCGAUACGCAUCAGUUUAGAAUCAGCCAAAACACAAGUUCAGUAUCAACACAACACAAGUUCAGCUACAGUUACCUUGAAAUGAACAGAAAGAACAGAAGACCACACCAUGUAAUUUGGACAUUUGGUAUAGUCCGAACUCUGACCAGAACCUUCUACCCCUACUCCUGCGCACUGACGGCUCCGGUGAAGUGGAGCUGAUGGAGGCGGGGUUCACGAGCAGUGACUGGGCGCGCCUGGAUUUGGCCGCUGAGGGUGAUCCACGCUGGGGCUCGUGGUGGAGAGAACCAGUGGAGCAUAGAAACUAAUAUAUUGGACCCAUGCCCCAGAGGCCCAGAACAUCAGAAGAAUUUGGAUCAGGUGCAUAAUAAAUUUGCAGUGACAAGGCCUACCUCUAUAUUGGGGCCUGCUCACAUAUCCACAAAUUCAGACACCAAAACUAAAAGAAAAUAAUAGAAUGUUAAAUUUGACAUCUCAGUUUUUAGCAUCACUUCUAAAGUAUGUGUUGGCCACACUUGCUUUACAUAGU
rnacentral:lncRNA from 1 species